AACGAACGCUGGCGGCAGGCUUAACACAUGCAAGUCGAACGCCCCGCAAGGGGAGUGGCAGACGGGUGAGGAACACGUGGGAAUAUUCCUUUCAGUACGGGACGACUCAGGGAAACUUGAGCUAAUACCGCAUACGCCUACGGGGAAGAUUUAUCGCUGAAAGAUUAGCCCGCGUCUGAUUAGCUAGUUGGUGAGGUAAUGGCUCACCAAGGCGACGAUCAGUAGCUGGUCUGAGAGGAUGAUCAGCCACAUUGGGACUGAGACACGGCCCAAACUCCUACGGGAGGCAGCAGUGGGGGAAUAUUGGACAAUGGGCGCAAGCCUGAUCCAGCCAUGCCGCGUGAGUGAUGAAGGCCUUAGGGUUGUAAGCUCUUUUGUCCGGGAAGAUAAUGACUGUACCGGAGAAUAAGCCCCGGCUAACUUCGUGCCAGCAGCCGCGGUAAU
rnacentral:rRNA from 1 species